AUCUCGAUUUAGUACGUAAACCAGCUUAUUUUUCUCCACAGAUGCAAUCAUAGCGGCCCUCCCCUUCGCAUCUAUGGCUAAGUAUUCACCAGGAACAACUCUUCGAAUUCCUGAUUUUCCAAAAGUUUCCUGGUAUAUUGGCACUAAUUUAUUUUUUUCAACGUUAUAUUCCAAAAUGGUUAUUCGUCCUGAAUCCGACGUGACUACGAGAUAAUCGCGUUUAAAACCAGUUAAUCUCAAAGGAGCAACAUUUCGAAUAAUACCAAAACAAUUUUGAUUUAAAAUACAAUUCAUUCUCCCAUCAGUUGCAUCAACUUUAUAUAUAAGCAACCUUGAUUCUGUAGCAAUUACUAUCUCCUGUGCCUUUUUACCAGACAAGGACGCGGCACACGAACUUUGAACAUAAUUACUAUUCUGUAUUGUUAAGGAAUAUAGAAACAGAGAAGGGAAGGUGUCCAUCUCUAUACUUUAGCUGAAACACGAUCCUCGCUGAGAGAAGAAGUCAGUGUAUCAAGGAAACU